rnacentral:other from 1 species
AUUUUCCUGAGGUGUGCGUAACGCUUAUAAUGUUCAACCGACAGAUGUUAUACGGGAUCUUUUAAACUUUUUCAAUUAUGUCAGGCUUCCGGUAAGGUGAAACUCCUUAUUAAUCCUUUAGGAUUCUGAAGUAGACAGACUUGAAAUGCGAAGAACCCACCUGCUUAGUGGCGGGUAUGAACAUAUAAGUUAACGGCAUUUUGGGUGUAAU